rnacentral:rRNA from 1 species
AGCGGCGGAUGGGUGAGUAACACGUGGGGAACCUGCCCCUAAGUCUGGGAUACCAUUUGGAAACAGGUGCUAAUACCGGAUAAUAAAGCAGAUCGCAUGAUCAGCUUUUGAAAGGCGGCGUAAGCUGUCGCUAAGGGAUGGCCCCGCGGUGCAUUAGCUAGUUGGUAAGGUAACGGCUUACCAAGGCGACGAUGCAUAGCCGAGUUGAGAGACUGAUCGGCCACAAUGGAACUGAGACACGGUCCAUACUCCUACGGGAGGCAGCAGUAGGGAAUCUUCCACAAUGGGCGCAAGCCUGAUGGAGCAACACCGCGUGAGUGAAGAAGGGUUUCGGCUCGUAAAGCUCUGUUGUUGGAGAAGAACGUGCGUGAGAGUAACUGUUCACGCAGUGACGGUAUCCAACCAGAAAGUCACGGCUAACUACGUGCCAGCAGCCGCGGUAAUACGUAGGUGGCAAGCGUUAUCCGGACUUAUUGGGCGUAAAGCGAGCGCAGGCGGUUGCUUAGGUCUGAUGUGAAAGCCUUCGGCUUAACCGAAGAAGUGCAUCGGAAACCGGGCGACUUGAGUGCAGAAGAGGACAGUGGAACUCCAUGUGUAGCGGUGGAAUGCGUAGAUAUAUGGGAGAACACCAGUGGCGAACGCGGCUGUCUGGUCUGCAACUGACGCUGAGGCUCGAAAGCAUGGGUAGCGAACAGGAUUAGAUACCCUGGUAGUCCAUGCCGUAAACGAUGAGUGCUAGGUGU